GCUUAACACAUGCAAGUCGAGGGGCAGCAUGGUCUUAGCUUGCUAAGGCCGAUGGCGACCGGCGCACGGGUGAGUAACACGUAUCCAACCUGCCGUCUACUCUUGGACAGCCUUCUGAAAGGAAGAUUAAUACAAGAUGGCAUCAUGAGUCCGCAUGUUCACAUGAUUAAAGGUAUUCCGGUAGACGAUGGGGAUGCGUUCCAUUAGAUAGUAGGCGGGGUAACGGCCCACCUAGUCUUCGAUGGAUAGGGGUUCUGAGAGGAAGGUCCCCCACAUUGGAACUGAGACACGGUCCAAACUCCUACGGGAGGCAGCGGUGAGGAAUAUUGGUCAAUGGGCGAGAGCCUGAACCAGCCAAGUAGCGUGAAGGAUGACUGCCCUAUGGGUUGUAAACUUCUUUUAUAAAGGAAUAAAGUCGGGUAUGGAUACCCGUUUGCAUGUACUUUAUGAAUAAGGAUCGGCUAACUCCGUGCCAGCAGCCGCGGUAAUACGGAGGAUCCGAGCGUUAUCCGGAUUUAUUGGGUUUAAAGGGAGCGUAGAUGGAUGUUUAAGUCAGUUGUGAAAGUUUGCGGCUCAACCGUAAAAUUGCAGUUGAUACUGGAUAUCUUGAGUGCAGUUGAGGCAGGCGGAAUUCGUGGUGUAGCGGUGAAAUGCUUAGAUAUCACGAAGAACUCCGAUUGCGACGGCAGCCUGCUAAGCUGCAACUGACAUUGAGGCUCGAAAGUGUGGGUAUCAAACAGGAUUAGAUACCCUGGUAGUCCACACGGUAAACGAUGAAUACUCGCUGUUUGCGAUAUACAGCAAGCGGCCAAGCGAAAGCGUUAAGUAUUCCACCUGGGGAGUACGCCGGCAACGGUGAAACUCAAAGGAAUUGACGGGGGCCCGCACAAGCGGAGGAACAUGUGGUUUAAUUCGAUGAUACGCGAGGAACCUUACCCGGGCUUAAAUUGCAGAUGAAUUACGGUGAAAGCUGUAAGCCGCAAGGCAUCUGUGAAGGUGCUGCAUGGUUGUCGUCAGCUCGUGCCGUGAGGUGUCGGCUUAAGUGCCAUAACGAGCGCAACCCUUGUUGUCAGUUACUAACAGGUUCCGCUGAGGACUCUGACAAGACUGCCAUCGUAAGAUGUGAGGAAGGUGGGGAUGACGUCAAAUCAGCACGGCCCUUACGUCCGGGGCUACACACGUGUUACAAUGGGGGGUACAGAGGGCCGCUACCACGCGAGUGGAUGCCAAUCCCAAAAACCUCUCUCAGUUCGGACUGGAGUCUGCAACCCGACUCCACGAAGCUGGAUUCGCUAGUAAUCGCGCAUCAGCCACGGCGCGGUGAAUACGUUCCCGGGCCUUGUACACACCGCCCGUCAAGCCAUGGGAGCCGGGGGUACCUGAAGUGCGUAACCGCGAGGAGCGCCCUAGGGUAAAACUGGUGACUGGGGCUAAGUCAUAACA
rnacentral:rRNA from 1 species